GUCAUGAUCAGGGAGACUGAGACCAUCCGUUAGGUUGCCAGGGCCAGUCACAUGCUGGCCUUUUAAGAUCAGGACUGAAAUACCGAGCUUGGAUUGUAUUCAGCUGGGAGCCAACACUGAGAGUAGGGUUGGGAGUGAUGCACUUUUGACGGCCAGGGCUGCCAAACACCUACAGGUUGUUGCAUUCUGCAAAACACGAAGAUUUGGAAAGAGAGGGUGAAAAAAAAUUAAAAAAAGGACCUGAAACACCUGAUUUUAUUCUAGUGAACUCAUUGUUUCUCUAGAACUGGAAACAAGCACAGAGAUAUCCUUUCACAACAGUCAAGUUUCAAUCUGAUGUUUCUGAAAAGGUGAACUCUGAAGAUCUGUGAGUUACUGACUUUGAAGAUCUUAACUAUUGACUUUCUUCAGUUAGGAAAUACAUCCAGAAAAGCAAACCCUACCCCAGCAACACAUACCUAUUGACCAUGUAUUUUCAUUCAGCUACACAGCUGUGUAAAUUCAGUUUGAGAAA